UGAGAGGCGUGAGGCCGCCCCUCGGAGCCCUCCCGCUUUCCCCGGCCUUCCAUCCACACGUGCGCCGGGCGGGGCACACCGGGAAAAAGUUGGCCGCUUUCCCUCCCCCGUAGCUCGUCUCCCGAGCGGUAGCGCAGGCCGCAGCUAGCCGCCGCCUGAGGCUCCGCGCACCGCUGGCCGAAGGGCCGUCGAGCAGAGCUUUCCCGGUGAAAUAGGCGCGGCCGCUCCUGUAGGAGGCGCCAGAGAGCAGCGCAGAAGGUGCCUUAGGAACGCUGUGCCAUGGGCACUGAUAGCAAAAAGGCAGAAGUAUUUUUCAGCAUUGCAAGCCUCAGCCAACCUUCAGCCCAAAAAGCGUGACGUGGAACUGAGCGCCGUGCAGGACUGCAGAGCGCCGUGGAGAGACUCCGAAGAGCAGCAGCUCAAUGUGCAGAACACAGGCGGGAGGAAACAGGAAACCAUUCCCACAGCUGCAGCACUUGCUGUAUUCUGGUGGUAUUGCUUGGUUUCUGCAGUCCAGGUUCUCUAACCUCGUUCUAGUAAACAGUGAGGAAGGAGGAUAUAAGGGCUAUCUAUACCUGUGAUAUGACUUAGGCAGCUGUUGCAGGAGCUGAACAGAUUCCUAAAUAAGCCAUGUAGUAAGGACCACAACUGUAACUUGCCAAGGGCUGUAGGAAUGGGAGAACUUUGCCUGACUUUACAAGUGCUCUAGGAGACAUUUUGCCAAUCAUGAAUCAAAUUUCCCAUUGCCUUUUCUGUUUGCUUUUUCUUUGUUGUUUGGUUUUCCUUUCUAUGCCUUGUUGAGCUUUUUACAUUCCUAUUCUUAAUGGACUCCUGUGUACAAAAAGCAUAUUCCACUCCUUUCACCAGACCGUAGUAAACUCUGAGACAACUUUCCUUAUAAAUGCAAGAAAUAUUUCAUAUAUAUAUAUAUUUGUAUGUUAAAGCCAAUGUAGAGUAGCGAGAACAUAAAAAGUCUGACAGGAAAAGAGUGUAUGCUCAGCAGGAGCUUCACCUGGGCGCUUUGUUCACGUCAGUUUGCUGGAGACUUAGUGAUAUGGUUUCCCUAGAUGCAUGCAAAUAAAAUCUGUGAAGUCUUCGUUUGCUCUAACAAGAUCAAGUAUUUAGGGUUAGACUCUACUGCUGCUUUAAAAUUGAUAGUUUGAAUUAACUAUCAUUCUGCAGUGCCAAAUGAUGUGCAAGGAAGUUUUAAUUAUCAGCUUCACCCUUAGAAUAUUUGUAAUACACUAACAUACAUUUCUGUCCCUCCACUUUUUAUUACAAGUGAGAUUUAUUAAUUCCUUUUACAAGCUUGGGUGAUCCUUACAUCCCAAACCAUGCUGUAUUAACUUCUCUCCUCCUUAUGGUGGGGGCUUCAUCCCUUCCAACUUUUUUAACAAAUAAUUCACUUCUUUACAACUGACGGUCCUUUUCAGCCACAGAAACUGAAUGCUGAAAUAGGAAAUGUUUUCCAGUCUGCUGUUAAACAAAGAGAACUCUUCAUAAUGCAGACCAAAAAAGUCUGUCGAUAUGUGUAAUAGCUUUAUCCUCAAGAGGAGUGGAUUUGGGCGGCUUUGUUGCUGGCAGCUCUGGUGGGCACUGUCAAGAUUUAUAAAGAGGGACAUUUACAAGACGGAAGAUGCAGUGUUCUUCCAAGGCUGUUAGAACAAAAUAGAUCUGAAUCCCAUACAAAACAAAUGAACCGAAUAAUUUUAAUUAAUCAAAUCCUAUUUUUUUUUCUCUCAGUGUAAUCAUAUCUUUAAUCUUGAAUGCAUUGCUGUUAAAUAAGAAAUGUAGCAAAAUAUUCACCUCUUUUUUCAUUCUCUUGCGCAAACAAUGUAAUAUAGAUCUGUUAAAUCUGAAAGAAAAGGAUUUGCUCAUAUUUCAGUCACAGCAGUCAACCCACACGUUUGAAAAUGUGUAAUGAAGUAAGGGCAUAGUAAGAAAUCUUUUCUCCCUCUGUCCUAAAGAUAACUGCAUAUGUACUGGAACUUGAGUAAGCUCAAAAAACAUGAAUGCUGAUAAAUAAUCUAUAACUUCCCUUGCUUCCAGGGAGAAAUGGCCUUCGCCUGCAAAUCUCUGGAUUUGGCAACUAUACCUAAUUCAUUUUAAACUCCCACUGACAUCAGCAAAAAUUACCCAAUUAGGGAUGCAGGAUCGGAUCUAAGAUGGUAGCAUAUUAAAAUGCUAUUAUAAAUUCAAAAGAUGCUACACAAAGUAUAAAGCAUUCAAGGCAGUUGAACAGUUCUCAGCGUGCAUAUUCAAAAUGCUAAACAAUAGCAGCUAUUGCAUGUGUGACCAUCAGGAAACACAGCUGUGCUUCUUUGUGUUACAAUUAAUUACUUCCGUUGUAUAUAAAAUUGAAAGUAUUGGUACUCUGGGGCGGAAGAAGGAUAUCCUGAUACACUGCUCCUAUUUCCUUAGGAAGGACUAUGACUGAACCUUUCACCAUUAAUAAAGUUGCAAUGACUUUUCCUGCGAUGAAUAAAGGAAGGGUAAAUUUUGUGGUUAAUUAUAAUGCUAAUGGUACUUUUUCUCUGCAUUUUUACACUCCUACAUUUAUAUCUCAUUUUAGUGUUUUCGCAUGCCAUCUUUGAUAACAAUUGCUCACUUCUAAGUAGUUGAACUUAAUGAAAAGUCUAAAGUAAAUAUUUGGCUUAAAGAUUGUUCUAUUUUUUUUUUUUUUUUAAUGAUAUUGGAUCAGAGGAAAGCAUAAAACUUCACCACUGUUCUUUAGCAGGCCGAGUAAAAUCUUCUUACCUUAGACAACAGACAACAGCUUCUGUGACUGUUCAGGAAACCAGUGAAGCCUCCAUCAGCCAACAGAUAAGUCUAGAAAAGCAACUGGCAGAAUUUAAGAUUCACAAUUAGGGGAAAAAGCAACGCCAAAGCCCAUAGUCUGGAAAUCACCAUUUUCUUCAGAGCAAAUCAUAGUCUCUCUCCUAUUAAGAACCUCUUAACGCAACACUUGUCAAGCUGUAUUGCACCGUGUGUUUCUCUAAUGAACUUUGCUCUGUUCACUUUUUGCACCCUAUUAUCUGGCAGAGUGUUAUACCUCUAGCGCUUCCCCUUCGUACCGCUCAGCUCCCCAGGGAUCACGGUACAACUGUCUAGUGCAAAGUUCAAAGGUCAGCACAGGCAAUCUGGAAAAAGAGCAGUUGAAAACUAACAGCAAUCCGUGGACGUUCUGUUCAUUCUUCUGAAUUGUGUUUUGCCUUACGCACGCUGUAAACAAAUCAGGGCUGUAAAAUAAAAUCAAAGUUCACACGUUUGCAGUUCUUGAUACUGUACUUUGUAAGCCAUCUAAAGCCAAGUUUGUCCAUUUAUUAUCUAAAUCCUUAAUUAUGUUUAUUAUCUAACUUCUUAAUUAUGUUUAAUAUAAUUAGUUGUAUCUUUAAAAAUACUGCAUGCCUGAGGGGUGUGGAUUAGGAAUGCACAAAAUGGCUGUUUUAAUAAGUCACGCUGCUAUACGAAGAUACUCUUUCAUUUGGAAGUACUUUUUUGGCACUAGAGUUCAAUGAGAGCAUUUAAAACACUUUGUAUAUUAAAGUCACUUCUGCUAAGAAACGGAGCAACACCCACCAGAACCCACGCAAUCAAACUUCGUUCACAG
ensembl:lncRNA